rnacentral:rRNA from 1 species
GAGUGGAAUUCCACGUGUAGCGGUGAAAUGCGUAGAGAUGUGGAGAACACCAGUGGGCGAAGGGCGACUCUCUGGUCUGUAACUGACGCUGAGGAGCGAAAGCGUGGGGAGCGAACAGGAUUAGAUACCCUGGUAGUCCACGCCGUAAACGAUGAGUGCUAAGUGUUAGGGGGUUUCCGCCCCUUAGUGCUGCAGCUAACGCAUUAAGCACUCCGCCUGGGGAGUACGGUCGCAAGACUGAAACUCAAAGGAAUUGACGGGGGCCCGCACAAGCGGUGGAGCAUGUGGUUUAAUUUGAAGCAACGCGAAGAACCUUACCAGGUCUUGACAUCCUCUGACAAUCCUAGAGAUAGGACGUCCCCUUCGGGGGCAGAGUGACAGGUGGUGCAUGGUUGUCGUCAGCUCGUGUCGUGAGAUGUUGGGUUAAGUCCCGCAACGAGCGCAACCCUUGAUCUUAGUUGCCAGCAUUCAGUUGGGCACUCUAAGGUGACUGCCGGUGACAAACCGGAGGAAGGUGGGGAUGACGUCAAAUCAUCAUGCCCCUUAUGACCUGGGCUACACACGUGCUACAAUGGACAGAACAAAGGGCAGCGAAACCGCGAGGUUAAGCCAAUCCCACAAAUCUGUUCUCAGUUCGGAUCGCAGUCUGCAACUCGACUGCGUGAAGCUGGAAUCGCUAGUAAUCGCGGAUCAGCAUGCCGCGGUGAAUACGUUCCCGGGCCUUGUACACACCGCCCGUCACACCACGAGAGUUUGUAACACCCGAAGUCGGUGAGGUAACCUUUUAGGAGCCAGCCGCCGAAG